rnacentral:rRNA from 1 species
UACGUAGGGUGCGAGCGUUGUCCGGAAUUACUGGGCGUAAAGAGCUCGUAGGUGGUUUGUCGCGUUGUUCGUGAAAACUCACAGCUUAACUGUGGGCGUGCGGGCGAUACGGGCAGACUGGAGUACUGCAGGGGAGACUGGAAUUCCUGGUGUAGCGGUGGAAUGCGAAGAUAUCAGGAGGAACACCGGUGGCGAAGGCGGGUCUCUGGGCAGUAACUGACGCUGAGGAGCGAAAGCGUGGGGAGCGAACAGG